AAGAAUGUUUUUUAUAUUUAGAAGCGGAAUAACAGCAACUGUACACAGAAAUGCUACAUUUGUUUUCCUUCAGCAGAUGAACUCUCCAACUCUGAUGAAAUCUGCAAACAAAUAAAAUAAUCAAUUUUUUACUGUAAAAAAUAAGCCAUCAGCCUGUUGGAAUACUGCAUGCUCACCUGCGUCAAAGUUCUGCUUAUGGACACUUUUAGUUCUCCGGUUCAACACAGCAGAAGACCAUGAAACGGCUCAUUGAACCCAGCUGGAAGCUGUGCACUGAAAAAUUAUGAAAAAACAUUCAGGAUAACAUACCAAUGGCGUAAGUGGACUCAACGGCAGCUCAAGGCCUCAGAUUUGACUGGAAUCUGUUCCUGUGCAGCAAAAAAACAGGAUUAAAGAGUGAAGAGACAACUGAGCAGCAAGCUGAGAACAUCAUCCGUCUGGAAGCACAAGACAGUAAAUGUCGGAGGUUUACCUAUAACCAGGCCAUAAAGAGUCACGGCCGGGCCUCAAACAGCCUCACGUCUCUCUAGCAGACACUACAGGAAAGGACGGAGCCACGGCAGGCUGAGCCUCGCUGGAAAGGUUGAUGUGACCCAGUGCCCUUUGUGAGCCGUCAUCCUCGACCCCGUAAAAGAAUCUCCCUACGAUCCACAAAUGUCACGCCGCUGGGUGAAGCUUGUGACCUCCGUGUUUCAGGACUAAUCUGCCACACUUUUUAUAGGCUACAAUAAAAACACUUUGAUCCUGAAACAAGCUCAUCGGGAACGCAGAUCUAGUUUGUUAUCUCCACCAGGCAGAAGAUCAUGUGUUUGUGUGUCUGGACGCAUUCUAUUUGUGUGCGCUCAUUCAUGAAUGUGUGCUCAAAGCACAAUGAAUAUGAAUAUUGAUAAUUAUCAGCCUCACAGGUACAUCAACCACAUCCCACAUUAAAUACAUGUCGGUGUUGAAUCAGUGAGGGUGAUAGCUGAGUGAGAUUGAAUGGUAGGAUGAAACAUGCGGGAGGGUUUGAGGAUGAUGGAUGAUGGUUGUGAGAUGUCAUGCAGCCUCCUCAGGAGUGGCUCUCUGCAGCGUUCACUUUGAACAAAUUAAACCCAAAUUUACCGGAGAAGAUUCGAUCAAGUCAUUCAAGUCAUGUGUCACUGAACAUCAAUACACAGGGCGUGUGUAAAUGACAAUAAAAAUCUUUGAAUCUUGAACAUCUGGAGUGUGUCAAAGUGGCCCCCGGCCGGGCCCCGAACAGCAGAGAGCCGCGAGGAGCAGGGAAUGGAAAUACAUUAGGCUGGUUCUGGGUUUGGAUAUGGGGCAGUGUCGUGAAUAAUAACAACGCAUCGUCUAAAAGAGGAUUCUUUCAAAUAAAAACACGCCCAUAUGUUCAGUUCAGCAGUAGUUGAAAGUACAUUUACUCAUCCUAAAUCCUUUAGUAUCUAGAAUUCUCCCCACUACAUUUCAGGUUAAUAUUGUGCUUAUUACACUAAAUACUAGUUACAUUUGGCUACUUUGUAGAUUGUGAGUAGCAAAGUCAAAUCAACAAAUAAAUCAUUAUGUAUUAUUACAUGAUGCUCAUGUUGGUGAACAGAAAACAUGUUCACCAAUAAGCAAUUCACCC
ensembl:lncRNA